rnacentral:rRNA from 1 species
GAGUUUGAUCAUGGCUCAGAUUGAACGCUGGCGGCAUGCCUUACACAUGCAAGUCGAACGGUAACAGGUCUUCGGAUGCUGACGAGUGGCGAACGGGUGAGUAAUACAUCGGAACGUGCCCGAUCGUGGGGGAUAACGGAGCGAAAGCUUUGCUAAUACCGCAUACGAUCUACGGAUGAAAGCAGGGGACCGCAAGGCCUUGCGCGGACGGAGCGGCCGAUGGCAGAUUAGGUAGUUGGUGGGAUAAAAGCUUACCAAGCCGACGAUCUGUAGCUGGUCUGAGAGGAUGACCAGCCACACUGGGACUGAGACACGGCCCAGACUCCUACGGGAGGCAGCAGUGGGGAAUUUUGGACAAUGGGCGAAAGCCUGAUCCAGCCAUGCCGCGUGCAGGAUGAAGGCCUCGGUUGUAAC